UUUGGUAAAGAUAUAGAUUCUCCACACUGUUAUCAGACCCAAAGAUUUCCAACUCAAUUCUUCGAGACAAAGUAACAUAGUCCAAUUUACUAUGAUAUCUUUUUCUUUUUUAUCAUAACAACAUGGUCGUCCUUCUUUUUUGACACCUUUUUCUCCCCUUCUCACUCAUCACCUUUAUCUUCAACACCCCCCCGCCUCUCUGGGCUUUUAUUCUCAUUGACAUACUUACAUGUCUUUAAAGCACUGGUGCUGCAUGAAUCACACUGAAAUCCUAACCAGAUCGUUCUUCCACUUUCCAGUUACACUCUCUGAUAAUGGCCAAGGAAGCUUCUCUGUGCCUCUUGUUUCUCUUCUUGCUCAUUAUCUCCUGUUCUGGAUCUCUGGUGGGUUUUUCCUACCGUGAGAGGGGAGACACUUCAACAUCUGCUAAAAUCAUAUCGCUCCUCCAGCAGAAGAACGUUUCCAUGUCUCAGAUUCGAAUUUUUGUUACAGAUCAUAGGAUUUUGAGCAGUCUCAGCAAUUCCAUCGUGCCAACUGAUUUGUACUUGAACAGAAGUCAAGUUCAAAGUUUAAUUACUUCAAAACCCUCCAAACUAAAAGCCCGUCUGCUUAACUUUCUCCCACAUUCACACAUCAAAAGCAUCAUUGCUAGCUGUGGCAGUGAGUGCUUAGCACAAAAUGAGAUGUCUUUGUUCUCACGUGCUUUGAAAUCAAUUAGUUCAGUUCUCAGAGAGCUUCAUAUAGGGAGGGAGGUAAAAAUCUCAGUAGCAUUUCCACUUUCAUACUUAGAAAAGUUGAACACAUCGCAUGAAAAUAGUAUUCGCAGAAUUCUUUCAUUCAUAAGGGAAAUGAAAUCCUUUGUCAUGGUAGAAGACAGCAUUGAUGGAGAAUUAAGCAUGGAGAGUCACUUUGAUCAGGCUAUAAUCAAACGAGCCACUCUUGCUGCUUCCAUUCUUCCUUGCAAAGAUGUUCCUAUUGUUUUAACAAUGAAGAGCAUAGUUGCCUCCACUUCAAUGGAGUUAGUUCAAUUCAGUGAGAGGGUAUCCAAAUAUCUAGAAGCAAAAGCUCAUAUUACUAAAAGAAUAGCUGCAUUAUAUGCAGAGGUUCAUAUAACAGAAGAUUUAGCAAGUAAAGAACUCAAAAGGGAAGAGGAAGAACUGUUUCCUGUCUCCCGCAGAGACAUGCUAAGUGAAUCCCACAAAAGGAGAAGUCUAGAUGAUACAACCAGUCCAACAAACGUAGUUUUCCCCACAAAUCCAGCAUCAUCCACUCCAAUAAUCACACCCCCAGAUACACCAACCAUCAUCACAGUUCCUGCCACAAAUCCUGUCACAAUUUCCCCUUCCAAUCCUGCUGGAGUGCCUGUCACAGUUCCUUCUACCACACCUGUGACUUUUCCUCCCACAAAUCCAGCCAAUACACCAGUACCAGUGAGCAAUCCGGCUACAACAACUCCUGUAGGGAUACCACCCCCAACAACCAACCCUGUGACUUCUCCACCUUCAUCAGGAAAUGUUCCUGUCACAAAUCCCCAACCUCAACCACCUCCUGCAAACACUAAUGCUCCCGCCAUUCAGGGGCAGAGUUGGUGUGUGGCAAAGCAAGGAGCUCCUGAAGCUUCUCUUCAAGCAGCACUAGACUAUGCUUGUGGAAUGGGUGGGUCAGAUUGUUCUCAAAUUCAGCAGGGUGGGAAUUGUUACAGUCCAGUUACAUUGCAGAACCAUGCCUCUUUUGCCUUCAACAGCUACUAUCAAAAGAAUCCAGCUCCAACAAGCUGUGACUUUGGAGGGACUGCCACCUUAGUUAACACAAAUCCAAGUUCGGGUUCAUGCGUUUUCCUAUCCUCGUCGUCAUCAACAACAGCAACUCCAAAGUCAUCACCCCCAACACCACCUACACAAUCAAGUCCAACACUACUACCACCACCAAGUCCAGUAACACCUACAUCAAUUCCAACAGCACCACCAACAACAUCAGUAACAGGCCCAUUUGGGUAUGGCACCCCACCUUCAGUGUUAAAUUCAAGCAACCCCGCGUCAGGUACAAUGCCAGAUUUUGGAUAUGAAAGCCCUCCUGUUGUAAAUACAACAUCAGCCUCGCAUUCUAUGAGCUUGAGACCUUCUGCUGGCUGCAUUCUUCUGAUGGUAUCAUUUGUCACUAUGAGACUUGCUAUGCAUCCAUAGAAUGAAAUGCUCAAUAGUAUCUCUAGCUGUUCGUUGGAGUUGUAAUGUAGCAUUCUAUAUUAGGCGCAGAAAGAUGUUAGAGUAAGAACGGAACAAAAUAAGGUUAAGUGAUUAUGAGUGAUGUACUGAAUUUAGCUUAGGUGAGGGAAAUUUUAAUAGGGAAAUAAUUGCUGCUUUAUGGUAUCUAGGUUGUACAACAAACUAUAAGUAAUAUUGGUCAUGUACAUAGUUUUUAAAAGCUUGUAGUUCUUUUCA